UUAAAGGAAUUGACGGAAGGGCACCACCAGGAGUGGAGCCUGCGGCUUAAUUUGACUCAACACGGGGAACCUCACCAGGUCCGGACAUGAUUGCGAUGGACAGAUCGAUAGCUCUUUCUAGAUCUCAUGGAUGGUGGUGCAUGGCCGUUCUUAGUUCGUGGAGCGAUUUGUCUGGUUAAUUCCGAUAACGAGCGAGACUCUACCUUACUAACUAAGACGUACGAUAUACACGAGGUCUGUUGCCGUGCGUUGUUGCCCGUACUUCGGUGCGUGGUUUACAGCGUUACGGCACGGUCCAUACUAUCUGCGCAAAUGUUUUCUUCUUAGAAGAACAAGCUAUAUAUAGUAGCACGAGAGAGAGCAAUAACAGGUCUGUGAUGCCCUUAGAUGUCCUGGGCCGCACGCGUGCGACAAUGAAAGAGUCAAUAGGUGUCCUAGGCCGAAAUGUCCGGGUAAUCCUAGCAAUCUCUUUCGUGUUGGGGAUUGGGGCUUGAAAGUGCUUCCCAUGAACGAAGAAUUCCCAGUAAGCGUAGUUGAUCAAUCUACGCUGAUUGAGUCCCUGCCCUUUGUACACACCGCCCGUCGCUACUACCGAUGAGCGGGCUAGCGAGAUCUUCGGACCGGCGCCUCGAAAGAGGUCGUUACCGGAAAGUCGAUCAAACUUGCCCGUUUAGAGGAAGUAAAA
rnacentral:rRNA from 1 species